GCUGUGGGCGGCUCGUUCCCCCCCGAGCCCCGCAGCGCGGUCCGGCGCCGCCGGCCCGCCCCGGGCCGCGCCCUCAAAAGGGGACGGGGCGGAGGAGCGGCGCCACUGGGCCCGGGCCCGCUCCCGCUCCGACGGCUGCCCGGGGAAGCGGCGGGGCCCUCACCGUGACCGCCACCGCCCCCCCGACGACGGCAGGGCCCGAGGCACCAUGACCCUGCUGAAGCUGUCCCUCAUGGCCUUCAGCUUCGUCUUCUGGGCAGCGGGGCUGACCAUGCUCAUCGUCGGCCUCUGGGCCAAGGUGUCUCUGGGCAGUUACCUGGCGCUGUCGGCCAGCGACUACCCCAGCGCCCCCGCCAUCCUCUUGGCCACCGGCGUCGCUGUCAUCAUUUGGGGCUUCCUGGGAUGCUUCGGCGCCGCUACGGAGCACCGGGGACUCCUGCGCGCCUACAGCGCCUUCCUGGCCGCGGUGCUGGCGGCCGGGCUGGCGGCCGGGCUCUCGGCGCUCCUGUACCGCCAGACCCUGGAGCAGGGCUUCCAGGAGGGGCUGCGCCAGGCGCUGCUGGCGUACGGGGAGGACGACGGGGUGGCGGACGCCCUGGACGCGCUGCAGCGGGCCCUGUCCUGCUGCGGUGUGGAGAGCUACCGCGACUGGCUGGCCUCGCCCUGGGGGCUGGAGCAGAACGGCUCGGUGCCCCUCAGCUGCUGCCGGGCCCGCCGCGGCUGCCAGCGCAGCCCGCCCGACGCGCGCAGGCUGCACCGCGACGGCUGCUUCGGCAGGGUGACCGCCUUCGUCGGCAGCAACAUGCAUUAUGUUGCCACCGCUGCCCUAGGGCUGGCACUGCUGCAGCUCAUCGGUAUUGUGCUGGCCUGCCUGCUUGCUGCCCGCGUCCCUGCCCACCUGCUGGGCAUCACCACCACUCGCUGAGAUCCCCCAACUCCUGCCCCUCGUCCCCUCCAGCUCCUUUCUUUCCCACAUAACUGAGUACAUCCCACUGGGAAAAUCUUUCCUUCAUAUUCACCAUUUCCACUUGAGCAUCCUCCUCCAGGCUCCAUUUCUCUGGAGCCUGUGUUAGGUGUGCUAUGAGCAUCUCAAGUCCCUCAGAAGGGAAGGUGCUGGGAAGGUGCCUCCUGGCCUGGCCAUGAAUCCUGCAGGGCAGCAGGUCCCCGCUGGAGCCUCUGGACCACUUCUGCAGGGAGCGGUGGCAGCAUGGACAGACUUCACUCUCUGCGGCAGCAGGGACAUCUGAGGCAAGGCUGACUGCUUUUCUGUGUGAUGUAAACACCAAGGCACCGAAAUGUGGACCAGGAAAGAGGAGAGGGUCUAGGAGAGCAAGAGGAGUGUCUCUUGAUAUUACACCAUAUCUGGGUUUGCAUUUGGAGUCUGAGGAAAAGCAAGCCAUGCACUUCAGAGGGUCCUGAACUUUCAGAUCUUCACUUUGGCUUCUUUCCACUUCCUUAAAACCUGUGAACUGUACUUUUAUGUAUUUUUCUACCUCGCAGCACAAAGACAUGCCCACCUUAACUGGCAAACAGGGGAGGAAUAAGAAAAGAAUCAAAGAACCACAAAGGAACUCCAAAGCAUGAUAUCUCUUAGGAAUGUGACUUGCAAAGCUGUGGAGAAUGGUCAAAUGAGUAAAGAAGCUGACUAGUAGGAGAGGAGCAACCUCGGGGGAAAGGUUUUUUUGUGUAUUAGGCGGGUAUUUAGCUAUGAUAAUCACAUUCCAGGUUAACAGCGUAGUGUGAACAGUCUUCUCAGUCAUUUGCAUCUGCACAGGUGAACCGUGGAAAUGUCUUAGGAAUCUCUCUUUAUAGGGAAAACAGUGGUUUAUUUUUGAGGGCUGAUGUUUAUUAUUUUACAAAAAUAUAUUUUUUAUUUUUGCUUGUAAACAUCCCUGUUUUUUUGGGUUUUUUUGUUAUCUAAUAAUGGAACUCCUGUUAUUUUCUGGAAGUCAAGAUUAUGUUGUACAACUGUAACAAUGGGCAAAAAGUAUGGUUUGUAUGGUAAAUGGUACUUGAGAAAUAAAGUUUAGCUGCUGAUAAGAGCAAAACAGGUCACUGUCAACUCCAAGUAUUUGCAUUGCUGUAUGUCUCCACAAGGUGCAACUAAAUGCAAGUGAAAUGAAGUGUACAUUGAAAUGUAGACACAGAAGCAUUUUGUGAGUUUUUAAAAUUAUUGUUCAAAAGAUCCAUUAUAGAUGCAAUAAAACAGGCAUUGUGGAGAGUGUGGGAAAGGAACACGAAAUUGCACUGGGUUUAUAAAAAAGAUCUUUACUUGAGUUAAUAGGCUCUGAAAAUUUACAAGAAUAUGACAUUGCUCUAUUUUUACUCCACUGAUGACUAAAAUUAUUUCUGAUUUUGACCCUUGUUGCUUUAUGUGACACAUAGCAGUUGGCCAGAAUGAAGUACUCUGUUAAAACACAUUCAAGCAUAGUGUAAAUGUGCACUUCAGUGAAUUUGUUCUGGUUUUAAGUUGCUAAGAAUAUCAAAAUAGGAAUAAGAGCAAGUUUGAAACAUGCCAGUGGAUGUUUGUAUGGUGAUCGGGUCUGAAUCUGAGGACAUCAGCUGAAUGUAAUGAAUAAUUAAAAAUGUAAACCAUCACUCUGCACUUUUGGCCUCACUAAAGGAAGAUAAAACUUGGCAAUGACCACAUAAAUGCUAAAUAUACUUAUACCACCAAAGAUUUAAUGAACUGGCUGUGUUACUUGAAAGUUUAUUGCCAGUUCCUAUAAUUAACAACAUUAACUUUUUUAAUUGUAAGAAAGAAAUGCCAUUCUUCUCUAAUUAAUUUCCAGAUUAAGAGAUUCCCAGUAGCUGUUUCAGUUGUCUUGAAUUCUUUGUGCUUGGUGAACAAAUCUUAUUUUAAGUUUAAAAAUUUUUCUGGCUUCAAGGUUCAUUUUAUUCUGGAUGGUCAGAAUGGCUGUAACUGGAAAAUGUUACUUGGGACAGCAGCAUGUAUCCCUUGCUGGAAUAUGUGUUUGUUUUCUGUCAUCCACUUCAACUUUAAAGUCACUCAUCAAAAUAGUACAUUUUAAUAAAAGAUCAUACAAUUUUUUGCAAAAUGCUAAUAUCAAUUUUAACAUUAAUGGCUGUUCAAAUCAAGGAGCAAGCUGUGUUGCGGUUGUAGAAACAACAGCUCUGUUGUUUGGACAAAGUGAGAUUUAGGAUUAACAGGGUGCUAAGAUUAGACCCUUGUUAUGAAACAAGGACUAUUUAAUAAUGUUGAUCUAGAAUGCCAAGAAUAUAAAUCUUUCAAACUUCAAAAGAAGUUCCAAUAAGAAUUAUUUGCUGUAGCUAAACUUUGUGUUACAGAAAAACAGAACUAAAAAUGGCCUUUAUAACAGAUACAUUUUUAAAUAAGAACAGGUGAAUUUUUAAAUAAGAGAUGGCUAUCCUGGGGUUUGAAAACUUAAACAAUUGGCCUUCCAAUGUGUGCAGAGUUUACUUUUAAAAGCCACUGUUUACCUGGUGCAACUUGAAAAGUUAAUGGCAGUCAUAUUGUAGCCUUGCAUUUUAAGCUUAUAAGGAUGAUAAUGUGGAAAGACAUUCAAGGCAAACUAGAGUGUAAAACAACCUAGUGAUAGGGUCUGCUAUGGUUCUUCUCUGUUUCCUUCUGUUUCAGAGGCUGUCUUUUGACAGCAGUAAUGAAUAUUCCAUUGGCUGUGCACCCAUUGUGCUUCAAAAUGGUAAAAAUACAUAUUUCUACUCAACUCUAUGUGAUUCAAACCCAAAAGUUUCAGUCCGUUCAAUAUGGCAUUUUAGUUUGCUGAGAAAUCAAUAAAAAUAUCACAAUU